ensembl:lincRNA
UUAAUUUCAAUCCCAGUUUUGCCAUGUGAAGCUGUGUGACCUUGAGUAACACACUUAACCUCUCUGACCCCUUUGCUUACCAGUAAAUGGGGGCAUUUCUUACCUUGAGAGGUUAUUGAGAGAGUUCAGUAAGAGAUGGCGUGUGAAAUCAUUGCUGAUUAUUUGUGUUAAUUCUUCGAAGGCAAGCGCUGCUCCAUACCCUGAGCAUAGGGAAAGGGCCAACUUAGCUCCUGAUCCCGCAGAGGUUCCAGUCUGAGUCGCUGGAAUGGGAAGAGAACAGCGGACUCCAGGAGGUUGGGGUUGACCCUGAGCGGAGAGGAAGGACGAAAGGUAAUCUGUAGUCCUAAUGAACGCGAAAUGGGACCUGGCACAAUUCGAAGAGGUCGCAUCGACGAUUUAAAACGAGCGAGCGGUUUUGCCCACUGGUUGCUAUCUAAAGAAUUCUUCCAGUUCGGCAGCCCCGCAUGGGGGCAAGGGGUGACACACAGAGAGAGAGAAGGGUCCACGGAUUCCCAAGGUGCCCCGGAUCCAGGGUGCUGAGAUGCAAAGAGGAGAGGCUGCUCCCUAAGGAGUACGCCUUGACAGCAGAUCCUGGAAGACAGCCUUAGACCGGAUUCUGGAAAGGCCUGGAGUCUCUUCCGGAACAGCAGAGCUUCUGCCAAAUGGAACUGUUUAAGUGCAGGAUCUUGUAGAAAUUACUCUCAGCCAGGAAUCUAGAGACUGCGUCCAGCACUGUCUGGGCUGUGGAUUGGCUGUGUGACCUUGGACCAGUCCCUGCUCCUUUCUGAGCCUUGGUGUCUUCAACUGUAAAAUGAAGACUUAGACUUGAUCAAGUGGCUUCCUUACAGCCGUUCUCAGACUGCCAACUUCUCUUGGGCAAGAGCCAUGCCUUCUCCUCUCUAGCAAACCAUAGAAUUUAGAAUCAGAGGACAGGGUUCAACACAAAGUCCAUCACUCGGAGCCGGACUGUGUAUGUGACCGUGGGCAGAGCACCACACUACUCUGACCCUCUGCUCCCCACGGAAAGACACAGACCACAGUGCUCGCCCUGUGGUCUGCCACAGAUCCUGUGAGUGGUGGAUGUCGAAGACCUUUGGACAAUAGAGCGAGGUGCUCCACUGGGCUAUCAGCCUGCCCCCUGCCUGCCCAGUGCCUGGCUCCAUCCUGGCUCUGGAGAUCUGGGCCCAGGCUUGUCGAUGGAGCCACCAUCUGCCCGUGGUGCUUACAGAGCUCUAGAAACAGGAGUGGGGACCCUGUGCCCAGCUGCCAUAUAAAGUGUCAGUAACGCUGCCCAGAGGCCUCGGGGCCCGUGACAUCAUGGACAGCAGUUUCCACGUUGGAGCUCACAGAGCUAAGUCCAUUUGAAAAAAUAGCACUGCCUUUUUUCUUCCUUUCUUUUUCCAUUUUGGCUAAGGCAUGGAAAGUGAAAGCUGCUGAAUUACUGCAGGAAGAAGUAAAGGCUGGAUUCUGAAAGUGGCUUUGGUUUCUGGGCCCUAAAAUCAACGGCAGAACCUGGAAGCCUAGCCCCUGCUUUCUCAUGCCCACCUUGCUCUUGCUCCAGGCUCCCCUGACAGGACCAAGGUCAAGGAAGACCAUAGCCUGCCUCUAGCUCCCAGAUGGACCUCAUCUUGCCAUCUAAAAAACAGGCAUGAUAGCUGUUCCCCUGAUCAUUGCUGGUAAGAAUCAAAUGCAACGAUAGCCAUCCCAUCCAUCCAUCCAUCCAUCCGUCCAUCCAUCCAUCCAUUCAGUGUUUACAAAACACCUUCUAUAUAGCAGGCACUAUUCUAGGAGCUGGGGUAGAGCAGAAAGCAAAGCAGACAAAACCUCUGCCUGCAUGGAGCUGCCGUGGUGGGGAAGACAAUCACCAGGUAAAGAAGGAAAGGAUGCAGGACGCACUAUGGAGGAAACCACCAUGGGUGGGGGUGGGGGGAUAGAGAGUGCCAGUGGGGAGGCACAGGGUCUAUUUGCAGUGAUUUUUGUUUUUUAGGAUUUGGGGUUUUUUUUGGUUUUUUUUUUUUGAGACAGGAUCUCUCUCCGUCACCCAGGCUAGGGUGCAGUGCUGCGAUCAUGGCUCACAGCAGCCUCAACCUUCUGGGCUCAAGCAAUCCUCCUAUCUCGGCCUCCCAAAGUGCUGGAAUUACAGGUAUGAGCCUCUCCGCCCAGCCUGUUGGCAGUUUUAAACAGGGUGGUCAGGGCAGGCCUCACUGA